UACGAAGGGGGGCUAGCGUUGCUCGGAAUCACUGGGCGUAAAGCGCACGUAGGCGGCUUCUUAAGUCAGGGGUGAAAUCCUGGAGCUCAACUCCAGAACUGCCUUUGAUACUGAGGAGCUUGAGUCCGGGAGAGGUGAGUGGAACUGCGAGUGUAGAGGUGAAAUUCGUAGAUAUUCGCAAGAACACCAGUGGCGAAGGCGGCUCACUGGCCCGGUACUGACGCUGACGGUGCGAAAGCGUGGGGAGCAAACAGGG
rnacentral:rRNA from 1 species